rnacentral:misc_RNA from 1 species
UUUCCGUGGGUGAACCUGCGGAAGGAUCAUUAUUGAAUAACCGAGGUGCGAGGGCUGUCGCUGACCCGAAAGGUCGUGCACGCCCGAGUGCCCUCACACACAUCCAUCUCACCCCUAUGUGCACCACCGCGUGGGUCCCCCUUUGGCUUGUUCGGAGGGGGGCUUACGUUUUCACACAAACUUUGUAUGCAGUGUAGAAUGUAUUUUUUGUUUUUGCGAUCACGCAAUCAAUACAACUUUCAACAACGGAUCUCUUGGCUCUU